UUGGACGCCCCCCCCCCUCUCCCAUCUUCUUCCUCCUCAAACAUUUGCAGCCCUCACCACCCAAAACCCUAGCUGCCCCCCCAUUUCUUCCCCUCCUCCCAAGGUGCAGCCCUCCCGUGUGGUUCUCCGUCGUGUGGCUGCGAUCUCAAUUGGAGUUUGGAGGGAGGAAGAAGGAAGGAGUAAGGGAAGAACCUAAGGUGAAUUUGUGAUUAACUUUUGUUGUUUUUGUGCUGCAAUCAAUUGGAUUAUGUGUUUAUCUUUGCGAAUCGGUAGAGGUGCUGUCCAGGAAUUUUGUGAGUGGGUGAACAGCAGUAGUUCUAGGGAUUUCUGGGAAUUUUCGUGGGGUAAUUAGUGGGAAUCAGUGGGAUAAUCAUGUAGAGCUUUGUCAUACCUUUCCAACGAGUACUUAUGCGCUCGAUUCGGAGUUAUAAUUUAGGAGAUAUCGUCGUUUGAAUCCGGGUAUGUUGCUGUCCAAAAAAACAGAUUUUUCAGGUGGGUGAACAGCAGUAGUAUUAGCAGUUUCUGGGAAUUUUCGUGGGGUAAUUAGUGGGAAUCAGUGGGAUAAUCAUGUAGAGCUUUGUCAUACCUUUCCAACGAGUACUUAUGCGCUCGAUUCGGAGUUAUAAUUUAGGAGAUAUCGUCGUUUGAAUCCGGGUAUGUUGCUGUCCAAAAAAACAGAUUUUUCAGGUGGGUGAACAGCAGUAGUAUUAGCAGCUUCUGGGAAUUUUUCGUGGUUAAUUAGUGCUAACCAGUAUGAUAAUCAUGUAUGGCUUUGUCUUAUCUUUCCAAUGAGUACUUAUGCGCUUGAAUUGGAAUUAUAUUUUAAAAGAUAUCGCUGUUUGAAUCCGGGUAUGUCGCUGUCCAAAAGAGAAAAAAACAGAUUACAGGGUUCAACUUGUGAACUGUUUUGGGCUAAUUAGAUGUUGGAAUUUAAUUAUAAAUUGUAUACAAAACUUGUGGGGAAUUUUAUGUAGAUGCCUCUGGAGUUUUUGUUUGUUACCAAUGCUGUCAUAAUUUUGAAGUUAUGAAAUUAUUAAGCAGCGCCGCUACAGUUUGGUGGGUGUGGGGAGAGAUGUAACCCGUGGCGGGGUUUGAGUUUGUGCGUAGGUGCGGCGUCGUUUAUGAGCCUGGUUAUGUGAAAUUGGUGCACUAAGUUGUGUGUCAAAAACAGGUGGUGGACUUCCGGAUCGUACUUAGGGAUUUGCCCGAACUUCCGGUAAAGGCAAGUAAAUAUAGUGGUGGUUGCUACCGUUUGGUUUGCAUCCUAUUCCCUGUCAUUGAGUAUGCAUAAGUUUUUAAUUAUGUUAAUCAUUGAAUUCUAUGAUGAAGUUUAUUUGUUUGGAAGUAUUAAUUCUCAAUUGUCUAAUAUUGUGGAUGAUCAUAAUUUGGUUAUGAUAUAUGUGGUUGAUUCCCAUCUUGGAUGAAGUUGAAGUGUCUUUUUGAAUCACGUUAUAUGAAGUGUUGUAGGCAUGACAUGCACAUCGCAUCAUCCAUCUUGCAUUUUGAAGUUAUGUCGUGAUCUUAUGGUCCGACCGUACCGGUACAUUUUUAGCAUCGUAUGUUGCCCGAGGAGGGGUACGAUGCGGCUUCAUAUCCUUAGAGGUAUGAAGGCAGAAGUCAUCCUUGCAUUUGCAGACAUUUGCAUUCAUGAGGAAUAUAUGAAGUGUGACAUUACUAUGUUACUAUUGUGGUUUCUACCUGCGAGGUGUGGUAACUAGGUGUGUUGUACGUUGUAUACGUGCUGCAUCUUGGUAAUAAGAAGGUUGUGGAAUCAGGUGGUGGUAAAACAAUGUUCUUAUGUGGUUGAAUAGUUUGAUAAUAUUUUACUUGCUGAGAUAUGUCAUCUCACUCUUGCAUUACUCAAUGCAGGUACUUGAUACAUGUUGGGAAUGAGGGGAGUAGCAGCACGUCCACUUACACUCUCACAAUAACGCUGCCCAGGCGCAGCCAUGAUUUAAUUAGAAACUUAUUGUCAAAGGAAGUUUGUUUUUUAUAUAGUCGUGCACACUGAUUAAUUCAGUUCAGGUCGUACGUUUAUCUUCCCUUGCUAGCCGAUUAAUAAUACUUAGUAUGUUUUUGGACAUGAUAUAUGUUUAUAACCUGUUGCCCCCUUAUUUAUGCAAUCUUGCAAAGGGGAUGCUGCCGAAAUUUUAUAUAUGGACGUCAGAAGUGUAGUUCAGUAGCAUUCUGGGUUGUUUGUGGAACCUGGGGUGUUACACCUGGCGACGGGGUCCGAGGGCUCGAUGCCUCCCUCCGAUGGGAUUCCGUUACAAGAUCAUUCCCGCUGGUCUCGGAAAUGUCCUAGGGUACCUCGGGAGCGCAGCCCGAGCCUUGGUUAUGUAUCGAACGUACCC
rnacentral:lncRNA from 1 species